rnacentral:misc_RNA from 1 species
GUCCAAAUGGGUUGUAUCUUCCAUGUUCGCUGUUGUGCUUAUAUGGAGGCAUGAUGCUGCGUCUUUGUGGCUUGCUAUGGGAUCUGUUGUAAAUUUUAUCCUCUGUGUAAGACUCAAGCGGAUAUUCAACCAACAGAGACCUCUUUCUACAUUGAAAUCUGACCCAGGGAUGCCAUCUUCGCAUGCGCAAUCCAUUUUCUACAUUUCUAUGGUCUCCGUUCUGUCAAGUAAUUCCACUUCCCUACCCUCUGUGUUUGAUGUCACUUUGAUUUGUAUAUAUUUAUAUAAUUUGUUUCAUGAGCUGUCUGUUUUGCUCAAUAGCUUUUCAAUCUCAAUGAUGAAAUUUCAUUACAACUUGAAGAAUUGACGAGGUCUUGUGGUAGAAUGUUUAAUUCUUUCCUUUUUCCCUUUGAGAUAAUAACAAGUGAUGAUUUGAAACAAGCACCGGUUUCUGCAAAAAGUGUAUGCUCCAUGUGAUUGCAUGCAAAUUCAGGCAAAUAUAUGGAUUGAUGUUAUUGUUAAGUAUUUUCGUAGGAUAUAGAAUGAAUCUAUUUGUUUCAUUAAAGGAAAUAAAUCAGUCUUGAAUUAGUUGAAUUGACAUACAAUGCAUUCCUGUGAACAUUUGAAUACACAAAGAUUUCCAUGAUGAUGUAUAUUUCUUCUUCUUGUUACUUAUCCAUAUGAGUAUCUACUUUUUUUGCGUCUUAUUGAAGAAUUUUAUUUAUUUCCUCUUUAGUAACUCAUGAAUGUGAAUAUGAUAGGUCUAUUGCUAAUAAAGUAACAAGUAUUCUUCUUGUUCUGUAUGGUUUUGCAGUUAUAGAAACAUUUGGAGCAAAUGAAAUUACGUUUAUCGUAGCUGCUCUUGCAUUGGCGUGCGGCUCAUAUCUUUCAUGGCUGCGGGUUUCACAACAAUUUCACACAACAAGCCAAGUGGUUGUUGGUGCUGCCGUUGGGUCAAUUUUCUCCAUUUUGUGGUUUUGGUCAUGGCAUGCCAUUUUGCUGGAAGCAUUUAUGUCCUUUUGGUGGGUUCGAAUAAUUGUUGCUUUUGGAGCUCUUGCGUACUUAUUGUGUUUUCUUUCACUUGUGAUCCGCUUCUGGCUUCCUCAUGAACAAUAACUUCUCUUUUCCCCUUUUUCAAUUAAAGUAUUAAACAAUGUCAAUCGAAAAGGAAACAUUUUCGAUGAAUGAAAGAACACAUUUGAGAAAGUAGAAAAGGCAUUGUAGUUUAAAUGUUAAACAUUUAAAGAUAAAUACUAAAUAAUUUAAAAAUUUUAAAAUAAUUUGAUUAUUAACUUUUUUUUAAAAUUUUUUAAACUAAAUUCCACAUAGCACAUAACAUUUUUUAAGCACUUUAUUAAAUUAGAUGGUUUAAUUUUGGAAAGCAUUCUUUUAGAUACAGCUUUUAUAUAUAGAGAGAGAGUUGUGAGAGAAUAAUGCCUUCCAAACUCUAGCAUUAAACAAAUAGAAAAUUGAUCUAUAUUCAACCGAGUAAAGUAGGAAAAGACAUUAG